UACGAAGGGGGCUAGCGUUGUUCGGAUUUACUGGGCGUAAAGCGUCCGUAGGUGGCUGUUCAAGUCUGCUGUCAAAGCACAAGGCUUAACCUUGUAAAGGCCGUGGAAACUGAAGAGGCUAGAGUGCGGUAGGGGUAGAGGGAAUUCCCAGUGUAGCGGUGAAAUGCGUAGAGAUUGGGAAGAACACCGGUGGCGAAAGCGCUCUACUGGGCCUGCACUGACACUGAGGGGCGAAAGCUAGGGGAGCGAAAGGG
rnacentral:rRNA from 1 species